UACGGGGGAUGCAAGCGUUAUCCGGAAUCAUUGGGCGUAAAGCGCCUGUAGGUUGUUUAAUAAGUCUGUUGUUAAAGACUAGGGCUUAACCCUAGAAAAGCAAUGGAAACUACUAGACUAGAGUAUGGCAGGGGUAGAGGGAAUUUCUAGUGUAGCGGUGAAAUGCGUAGAUAUUAGAAAGAACACCGGUGGCGAAAGCGCUCUACUGGACCAUUACUGACACUCAGAGGCGAAAGCUAGGGUAGCAAAAGGGAUUAGAUACCCCUGUAGUCCUAGCCGUAAACGAUGGAUACUACAUGUUGUGCAUUAUGUACAGUAUGGUAGCUAACGCGUUAAGUAUCCCGCCUGGGGAGUACGCUCGCAAGGGUGAAACUCAAAGGAAUUGACGGGGGCCCGCACAAGCGGUGGAGCAUGUGGUUUAAUUCGAUGCAACGCGAAGAACCUUACCAGGACUUGACAUACUACAAAUUCUUUGGAGACAAAGAAGUGCCUUCGGGAAUGUAGAUACAGGUGGUGCAUGGCU
rnacentral:rRNA from 1 species